ACUGAGUGUGGCGGUUGGUUGCCAACGGUCUGGAGGUCUUCCUGGAGCUCCAGAGUAGCGGGACAACGUCGCGUCUGAGUCCGAAAUGGGUCCCGUAAUCGGACUGAGUGUGGCGGUUGGUUGCCAACGGUCUGGAGGUCUUCCUGGAGCUCCAGAGUAGCGGGACAACGUCGCGUCUGAGGCCGAAUCGGGUCCCCUUGUCGGACUGAAUGGUGCAGUUGGUGGCCAACAGUCUGGAGGUCUUCCUGAGGCUCCAGAGGAGGGUAACUCUGUGAGUCUGAGUCCGAGAUGAGUCCCCUAAUCGGACUGAAUGGUGC
ensembl:lncRNA